rnacentral:sRNA from 1 species
UUCUCCUACCUUGUCUAUC